GUCACAGAUAAUCUUACCUCUGACAACCCACCUCAGUUUCAGAGGCAACAGGUACUAUAAGAAUUUGGUGUGAUCUUUUCACACUUAAAAAAUUUUUUUCACAUAUAUGCGUGGGCUCAUGGGAAAUAUAUAUUGUGUGUCAGCAUGUGUGUGUGUAUGUGUGGCUUGUUUUACACAGAGGGUGGCGCAGUUACAUAUCACACAGCAAAACGCUUUUUUUAAACUCAGGCACAGCCAGAUGGGCUGCCGUUGGUUGCAAGCCUGGAAGAGUCAGAAAGAAACCUGAGGCUGUCAAGGAAGCUUGAAGGUGGGUCUUCAACUCUGGGCCCAGAAGGAGCAUCACCUCCACCUGGCCUUGUCUGGUUCAUCUACAGCCUGCAGGAAGAGAGGGGGAGGGGGGAGAGGGGGAAAGGGAGAGAGGAAGAGAGGGGAGAGGAAGACAGGGGAGAGGAAGAGAGAGAGAGGGAGAGGGACAGAGGGAGAGAGGGAGAGGAAGAGAGGAGGGAGGGAGGGAGAGAGAGAGAGAGAGAGAGA
rnacentral:lncRNA from 1 species